AGGCACUGAAUGUCUAUCAAGUAUUUACCACGGUCAAGUUCCGAUGGAGUGGGUACAUUGGUGUCAACCACAGGGCAAGUUGUUGGAUCCCUCAGGAAGUGGCUGGAGCUGAAACAAUGCUGUAAGCUCAUUUCCAGAAGAAAAGUCUUUAUGAAAUUAAGAAUCAAAAAGUGAUGUCAAGGACACUCAUUCGACAGGAUACCCAGACUGCUACCCUGAGGCCUUUUGAAACAAUAAGCUUGGGAGGAAAAGCAAUGAUCUUAAUCAGAUCCUUGCCAAUGAGUUGCUCCCCCAUCUGGAUGUGGUGUCUUAAGAGGGACCACUCAAGAGUCAUUACACCAUGAGGAAAGCAGCAUUGUAUACCAGGUAAAACACAGACCUAAAACAAGCAAACGAUUACAUUGUGGUAUUAUGAUUGCUGUCACAGGUAUGUGGUGG
rnacentral:lncRNA from 1 species